rfam:Picea glauca, whole genome shotgun sequence.
ACAUGCCUACAUCAUAGCGUUAAUGCACCAGAUCCCAUUAGAACUCUGCAGUUAAGCACGCUCAAGCUAGAGUAGUACCAGGAUGGGUGACUGCCUGGGAAGUUCUAGUGUUUUACAUGCC